AGAGUUUGAUCCUGGCUCAGGACGAACGCUGGCGGCGUGCUUAACACAUGCAAGUCGAACGAGAGGACAAGAGAAGCUUGCUUCUUUUGGAAUCGAGUGGCAAACGGGUGAGUAACACGUAAACAACCUGCCUUCAGGAUGGGGACAACAGACGGAAACGACUGCUAAUACCGAAUACGCUUGGAAGACCGCAUGAUCUUCCAAGGAAAGGGUGGCCUCUACCUGUAAGCUAUCGCCUGAAGAGGGGUUUGCGUCUGAUUAGGCAGUUGGUGAGGUAACGGCCCACCAAACCUACGAUCAGUAGCCGGUCUGAGAGGAUGAACGGCCACACUGGAACUGAGACACGGUCCAGACUCCUACGGGAGGCAGCAGUGGGGAAUCUUCCGCAAUGGGCGAAAGCCUGACGGAGCAACGCCGCGUGAGUGAUGACGGCCUUCGGGUUGUAAAGCUCUGUGAUCGGGGACGAACGGUCCGUAAGUCAAUACCUUAUGGAAGUGACGGUACCCGAAUAGCAAGCCACGGCUAACUACGUGCCAGCAGCCGCGGUAAUACGUAGGUGGCAAGCGUUGUCCGGAAUUAUUGGGCGUAAAGCGCGCGCAGGCGGCUUUCUAAGUCCAUCUUAAAAGUGCGGGGCUUAACCCCGUGAUGGGAUGGAAACUGGAAAGCUGGAGUAUCGGAGAGGAAAGUGGAAUUCCUAGUGUAGCAGUGGAAUGCGUAGAUAUCAGGAGGAACACCGGUGGCGAAGGCGGCUUACUGGGCUUUUACUGACGCUGAGGCUCGAAAGCGUGGGGAGCAAACAGGAUUAGAUACCCUGGUAGUCCACGCUGUAAACGAUGAUUACUAGGUGUGGGGGGACUGACCCCUUCCGUGCCGCAGUUAACACAAUAAGUAAUCCACCUGGGGAGUACGGCCGCAAGGUUGAAACUCAAAGGAAUUGACGGGGGCCCGCACAAGCAGUGGAGUAUGUGGUUUAAUUCGAAGCAACGCGAAGAACCUUACCAGGUCUUGACAUCGAGUGCAUAACUAAGAGAUUAGUGAAAUCCCUUCGGGGACACUUAGACAGGUGGUGCAUGGUUGUCGUCAGCUCGUGUCGUGAGAUGUUGGGUUAAGUCCCGCAACGAGCGCAACCCUUACCUUAGUUGCUACGCAAGAGCACUCUAAAGGGACUGCCGUUGACAAAACGGAGGAAGGUGGGGAUGACGUCAAAUCAUCAUGCCCCUUAUGACCUGGGCUACACACGUACUACAAUGGCAAUCAACAAAGAGAAGCAAGACAGUGAUGUGGAGCAAAUCUCAAAAAAUUGUCCCAGUUCAGAUUGUAGGCUGCAACUCGCCUACAUGAAGUCGGAAUUGCUAGUAAUCGCGGAUCAGAAUGCCGCGGUGAAUACGUUCCCGGGCCUUGUACACACCGCCCGUCACACCAUGGGAGUCGGUAACACCCGAAGUCGGUAGUCUAACAGCAAUGAGGACGCCGCCGAAGGUGGGAUUGAUGACUGGGGUGAAGUCGUAACAAGGUA
rnacentral:rRNA from 1 species